rnacentral:lncRNA from 1 species
GCUUAGGCAUGGAAGGAGAGAGAGAGAGGCCAUGCCCUCUCUCUUGUGCAUGAAAACCCUAAGGGGGUGCCAACUGUUGAUGCCCCAACUACGUGCCUAAUAAUUCAUGUGGCACCCUCUCAUCUUGUCUUAUAAGAUAAGAGCGCUACAUCCACCUGAUUUUUGAAGCAAGAGCCUUUCCAAUUAGGUCUUAUUGUUUUAAGAUUAUAAUG